CAAAAAGCCCGGACUAAGGGGCCCCGCGCCAGAGAGCCAGGGCCGGCUCUAGAGAUAAGGAGGCCCGCAGCCCCGCCUCCUCGACUCCACCCUGGAGAGGAAGGGGAGGCCCCAACAGAGGGCCCGGGAGUACUGCAAAAAGGGAUUCCGCUCCCCAGGUCAAGAAUAAGAUUCCAGGCCUCAUUAGAAACCAAAUGUUUUUUUCUGGAGAGGAGUCUUUAGUUUUCACUAGAGACCCAGAAGGUCAUAGAAAGUCCGAUUUGGACCAGAACCUCAGGGUAUGGCCAUCAACCCACAAUGUUUUCUUGGGGGAGGAAGUGGGAGGAUCAGGCUGUGGCUGCUUAGAAAGGACUCCAGCUGGAUGUGACACCUCCCCUCAACUCACACAAGGCUGAGGCAGUUGAGAAAGCUUUAUUAACUAACACAAAGGAAGUCUGGGCAAUGUUGCGAGACCCCGUCUCUGGAAAAAAAAAAAAAAUCAAAUUUGCCAGGUGUGGUGUUGUGAGCCUAUGGUCCCAGCUACUCAGGAGGCUGAGGUGGGAGGAUCACUUGAGCCCAAAAGGUCAAGACUGCAGUGAACCAUGAUUGCACCACUGCACUCCAGCCUGGGUGACAGAGCGAGAGCUUGUCUACACAUACACACACACACACACGCGGAUGAGGCUUCCAAAGCUGGGAGGGAGUCCUCCAAUACCUUGGCCCCCUUCCCCACUGCUUGCAGGACCCUGAUCACUGCAGGAAACUGGAGCUGCAUAGUGCAAGCUCCCAGUGAAAUGCAAACAGGACAAGAGGACAAGGCAUAGCUUGGGCAUAUUCCCUGGGCACUCAUGUCCAGACAUGACCGCUGAGUGUCAUUGUGAACACUGGCAGAAAUGUAUGUGGGUGGGGAGGUGGCUAACAAAGGUGUCAGUUUUGGGGGGAAGGGAGGAAUAAGGCCUCACUGGGUAAUCUCUGAACCUGUAACCAUUACCAGUCCAUAUAGUGCUUUUGUGCCGAUAGAAAAAUCACUCCUUCUGGGGAAAGGCAGGUUGGCCAAUGAGAAGUCCCAGCCCCAUUUGAUCUUUUUGCCAGGCACUCUCCUGCAGUGUACAACCUGUACAACUGUACCUGGUGACCUUGAAUGUGAUUAGGACUGGGAGCUCCGUGAGGCCAGAGACCUAUGUUCAUUUAGCCUACAUAAAAGACACUCAAUAAAUAGCUGGUAAAAUAACAAAUGAAUAAAUACAUAUCAUCAAGGGUUGGGGUCAGUAGACAGCAGUGCCCAAGCUGGCAUCCAUCAAUCAUGUCUUGAGUCUUGCUCCUUCCUCUUGGCUUAGU
rnacentral:lncRNA from 10 species